UUCACGUUCUACGUUGGAAACCUUUAGAUGCUCGACCGCAGUCAAGGCACCCACCAUAACGUGAGGAGGGAGUGAAGUAGUAAAGAUGAACCCGGGGGCAAGUGAACGAAUCAUGUCGACUAACGUGCUAGAAGCUGCAAUGUAACCACCAACACAACCAUAGGAUUUAGCCAAGGUACCCGUUAUAAUGUCGACUCGACUUAAC